GGCAAAGAUCGAAUAUUUAAGCAAUCAAUUCACUAUAUUCGAUGAAAGAUCUUCAAGUACCGUUCGAAGAUGCUAAGUAUCACUCUUAUCGGCUACCUAACUAUCCCAUGGCUCACAUUUCAUAUGAAUUGGAUGUUUUGGCCUAAGGGGUCCAGGAGAUGCAAUGUAUAAUGGAAACCAUCCCUGCCACUUCGGUCACACCCGAAGGGGCAGCUCGAACCCGGGCUGAGUUUUUCACGGUGCAACACAAAUGUAUCUAAAUCAAAUCCGUCUUUAUUCAAAAUCGGCUAGCAUGGGCAAUUUUAGAUCGGGAUCUUUGUCCGGUCAAGAGAAUGAUGUCGCUGGUGUUGAUAAAUAAGGCCCCAAGAUGGGAUGAACGACUCCAUUGUUGGUGCUUGAACUUCCGUGGCCGAGUGACGGUCGCUUCGCCGAAAGGUCAUCCUCCAGUUUGGGAAAGUUGGAAAAGAUAUAUUCACCAUGGAUUACCGGUAUCCGAUCUGCAUUCGAAGCAUUUGCAAUCUGCCUCAGCAGCUUCGACACUAAGAUUGCUUGCGAAUAAAUGAUGCAUGGUUUUAACAGAUUUGUAUUAUUAUU